GCAGUCGAGCGGUACAGGAAGUAGCUUGCNACUUCGCUGACGAGCGGNGNACGGGUGAGUAAUGCCUGGGAAUAUGCCUUGAUGUGGGGGAUAACUAUUGGAAACGAUAGCUAAUACCGCAUAAUGCCUACGGGCCAAAGAGGGGGAUCUUCGGACCUCUCGCGUCAAGAUUAGCCCAGGUGGGAUUAGCUAGUUGGUGGGGUAAAGGCUCACCAAGGCGACGAUCCCUAGCUGGUCUGAGAGGAUGAUCAGCCACACUGGAACUGAGACACGGUCCAGACUCCUACGGGAGGCAGCAGUGGGGAAUAUUGCACAAUGGGGGAAACCCUGAUGCAGCCAUGCCGCGUGUAUGAAGAAGGCCUUCGGGUUGUAAAGUACUUUCAGCAGUGAGGAAGGUGGUANUGUUAAUANCNNUAUCNUUUGACGUUAGCUGCAGAAGAAGCACCGGCUAACUCCGUGCCAGCAGCCGCGGUAAUACGGAGGGUGCGAGCGUUAAUCGGAAUUACUGGGCGUAAAGCGCAUGCAGGCGGUCUGUUAAGCAAGAUGUGAAAGCCCGGGGCUCAACCUCGGAACAGCAUUUUGAACUGGCAGACUAGAGUCUUGNAGAGGGGGGUAGAAUUUCNGGUGUAGCGGUGAAAUGCGUAGAGAUCUGAAGGAAUACCGGUGGCGAAGGCGGCCCCCUGNACAAAGACUGACGCUCNNAUGCGAAAGCGUGGGGAGCAAACAGGA
rnacentral:rRNA from 1 species